CACUUAUAUAUAGCUGAAGAAUUAAAGUAAACCUUUACAUAUUGCAGUGUCUUAAAUGGUGUCUCAUUGAUGUAUACUACACUUCUCUCUACUUGUAAAAGUAUAUAAUAACUUAUAUGUCAUUAUAAUUUUCAGUUCCUUGCUGUUCAAGUUUGGGCGGACUGAAGAUCUUUGGGGAUAGAGGAAGCUUAUGAGGAAGGAUAAUUGAUGUUACUGUGACCCAUUUUUUUUAUAAAUUGUGGCUAAUUUUAUGUCAUAAAGCUAUCACUAGAAUCAGUGGAGAGAUAUUAAUUCUCACGAUUUAAAAACAACAGUGAAUGUCAGAUCAGUUUCAUUUUUCUGUUCAUGUUACUUUUGCAUGGCAAUGUGGUGUCUUCAAUAUUUUGGAAGCUUUGUACAUAGUGACAUGUAAAGUUUUUUUGUGACAAUUUGUAUGAUGUACAAUAAAUUCAGAAAUUAUUGCAAUGUUUUAGCAAUGCAAAUAAUCCACAUAGUUCGGUAUUGCAAUACAUAUUUUCACUUAGAACUAGCAUUGUGAUAUUUGAUCCAUAUAUUUAUAUCUAGAUUUUCCUGAAAUGCAAUAUUUGAUCUUGCAGUAUUGUCCUUACUUUGAAAAUCGUAAAAAUUCUGAAUUUUUAAUAUUGGGGAUGGAACCAGUUGUACUUGCUAACAUACCGUGCAUUCCUGAGAGAUUGCAUUAUGUUUCUAAAGACAGCUUAUUUCAACCAUAUUCCAUCACUUUAUUCAAAAGUAGAUCUAUUGAAUAUUGAUAAACACAUUUUUUUAGCCCAAGACAACUGUUAGAGCCAUUUGCUACUUAUUUCUUUUCUAGAUUCCAUCCCUGUUAUAUAAAAUAAAUAAUCAUAAAGAUUAAAAUCUUAUUGUGUCAUGUGAUAAUGUAUUAAUAUACAUUUACAAACUUGCAGUACAUGUCUCUCAUUUUUUGUUUAAAUAGUUACCUACUACCUUAAUAUAUAAUACGCAAAUUGCAGUGGAGGAUUUUUUUUAUUUCUACAUUGGAUGUGAUAGAGGCAUUUACACUUUUGGAUAUUUAUGUAAAUUUUCUGGAAAUGACCCUAGAUAUUGGUCUGAAAUUUUCUGAUAAUGAUAUGUUGUACAAAAGCAAAAAAUAUAUAAAUUCAAAUCAUAUUACUAGUUCUAAGUUCUUUGACUACAGUUAUUCUGUUUAAGAAACCUAAUAUGUGUCAAAUAUUUAAUAACAAUCCAAAUUCAGACCUGUAUCAAGCACGAAUAUUGUGUCCAUGUUUGUCCAAACUGGUCAGUGUUGGACCUCUGCGGUCGUAUCCAGCUGUGCUUAGCGAAGCAAUUUAUUUAAAUUGUGAAUUUAAAAUAAAACUAUUUUUUUUUGUUAUUUUGAGUAAUGGCAAUCAAAUUUGCAUACAAGUAUGAUAUAUGCCUCCUGAAAAAUAGUUAAAUAUCGAAAUGUGGUCCUGCAACUUAUGGCAGUAUUUGUCAGAUUCAUUUUGCCAAUUAAGAUAUAUGAUGUGAUCAACAUCUUAUGAAGAAUUUUGCUAAAACUAAUUCUAUCAGCCACCUGGAAAUUCCAGAGAGAUCAGAGUUGAUGCUCUAUGUUGAAGGAUUCACUUAAAACUUUGACAUGAAGAACAGCUAUAAGAGUAUUAUUCCAGCACUUUAGAUUUAUAUUGUGCUUAGUGGUUUUAUGUCAUGAAUUAAUAUUCUUUGGAUUUUCAUUUGCAAUGUUACUGAUAAUGAUUUACAUUGAAAUAUAUAUACAUAUUGUUAUAUAAGCAUUGAAACUUACUCAAAUGGGAGUAGAAUAGCUGUGAAGAAUAAUAUGCCAUAUUUGUUUGUCAUGGUUUGCACAUUACUAUUUUGAUGAACAAGAAUGAAGCUGCAUAGUAACUUAUUAAAUCUCUAAUUUUUUGCAUGUUAUUAUAUUAAUUGGAUAAAAAUUUUAUCAAAUGAAAUAUCUCAUGAAUUUGAUGUAAAUAUGCUUAAGGAUUGUAUUUAUUCCAUGACUGUUUAAAAUGUAUUUUUAUGUAAAUAUAAUAUUCAAGUUUAUUAAGUAGAUUUUUUUUUUAAAGUAUGUAUAGUUCAAACCUUUUGAGUGCUAAUGUAUUAUUCAAAACCCAUUGUCGCAUUAUUGUUACUUUUACUCUCUUAAAUGAUAUUACUCAUUCAUACAAUUUAUUAUUGCUUAAGUGUAAAUUGUGUAUUUUCACACUUUUUCAAUCAGCUCGAAAAAUGCAGUACAUAGAUUAUUAAAAAAACUUUUAUCAAAUCAUAUUUUGGUAAAUGAUAAAAGGUUUGGCAGAGAAUAUGGAUUGCCUCACAGAUACAACAUAUUGUUCAUGUUGCUUAUUAUUCUAAAGGUUACUUUUCAUUUAAAUAAUCAACAAGCUAAUAAAAAAUAAGGUCUUUGUUUGACAUUCGCUCUACCACCAGCUUAAUUUCACCUUCACAUUUCAAUGACCCUAAGUUAUGAAUAUUCAUUACAUAAAGAUUUCUCCAAUCAGAAACCAGUAUGAGUGCAUUCAGAAAUUGACAUCAAAUUAUAUAUCUCAUUGGGCUGUUUUCCCUUUUAAAGAUGUAACCAGAAAAAAAUGGAAGCUAAAAUAUGAUUGGUUCAAAAUGUUUAUGUCUUGGGAUCAUUGAAAUGUGACCCAAUCUGCAAAAUUAUAAAAUAUUUAUGACAAUAGUGUAGUGAGUGGAAAACUGAGAUGUCAUUUUGAUCAGAUUAAUAGAUCAAAUAAUAUUUCUUAUCAUUGACACACUAAUGUUUUCAUUGAUUUUUUAACUAAAUGUUUGUUUUAAUAUCCAUAGAAAAU
rnacentral:lncRNA from 1 species